rnacentral:rRNA from 1 species
AUGCUGGAGGUAUCAGAAGUGCGAAUGCUGACAUAAGUAACGAUAAAGCGGGUGAAAAGCCCGCUCGCCGGAAGACCAAGGGUUCCUGUCCAACGUUAAUCGGGGCAGGGUGAGUCGACCCCUAAGGCGAGGCCGAAAGGCGUAGUCGAUGGGAAACAGGUUAAUAUUCCUGUACUUGGUGUUACUGCGAAGGGGGGACGGAGAAGGCUAUGUUGGCCGGGCGACGGUUGUCCCGGUUUAAGCGUGUAGGCUGGUUUUCCAGGCAAAUCCGGAAAAUCAAGGCUGAGGCGUGAUGACGAGGCACUACGGUGCUGAAGCAACAAAUGCCCUGCUUCCAGGAAAAGCCUCUAAGCAUCAGGUAACAUCAAAUCGUACCCCAAACCGACACAGGUGGUCAGGUAGAGAAUACCAAGGCGCUUGAGAGAACUCGGGUGAAGGAACUAGGCAAAAUGGUGCCGUAACUUCGGGAGAAGGCACGCUGAUAUGUAGGUGAAGUCCCUCGCGGAUGGAGCUGAAAUCAGUCGAAGAUACCAGCUGGCUGCAACUGUUUAUUAAAAACACAGCACUGUGCAAACACGAAAGUGGACGUAUACGGUGUGACGCCUGCCCGGUGCCGGAAGGUUAAUUGAUGGGGUUAGCGCAAGCGAAGCUCUUGAUCGAAGCCCCGGUAAACGGCGGCCGUAACUAUAACGGUCCUAAGGUAGCGAAAUUCCUUGUCGGGUAAGUUCCGACCUGCACGAAUGGCGUAAUGAUGGCCAGGCUGUCUCCACCCGAGACUCAGUGAAAUUGAACUCGCUGUGAAGAUGCAGUGUACCCGCGGCAAGACGGAAAGACCCCGUGAACCUUUACUAUAGCUUGACACUGAACAUUGAGCCUUGAUGUGUAGGAUAGGUGGGAGGCUUUGAAGUGUGGACGCCAGUCUGCAUGGAGCCGACCUUGAAAUACCACCCUUUAAUGUUUGAUGUUCUAACGUUGACCCGUNNNNNNNNNNNNNNNNNNNNNNNNNNNNNNNNNNNNNAUCCGGGUUGCGGACAGUGUCUGGUGGGUAGUUUGACUGGGGCGGUCUCCUCCUAAAGAGUAACGGAGGAGCACGAAGGUUGGCUAAUCCUGGUCGGACAUCAGGAGGUUAGUGCAAUGGCAUAAGCCAGCUUGACUGCGAGCGUGACGGCGCGAGCAGGUGCGAAAGCAGGUCAUAGUGAUCCGGUGGUUCUGAAUGGAAGGGCCAUCGCUCAACGGAUAAAAGGUACUCCGGGGAUAACAGGCUGAUACCGCCCAAGAGUUCAUAUCGACGGCGGUGUUUGGCACCUCGAUGUCGGCUCAUCACAUCCUGGGGCUGAAGUAGGUCCCAAGGGUAUGGCUGUUCGCCAUUUAAAGUGGUACGCGAGCUGGGUUUAGAACGUCGUGAGACAGUUCGGUCCCUAUCUGCCGUGGGCGCUGGAGAANUGAGGGGGGCUGCUCCUAGUACGAGAGGACCGGAGUGGACGCAUCACUGGUGUUCGGGUUGUCAUGCCAAUGGCACUGCCCGGUAGCUAAAUGCGGAAGAGAUAAGUGCUGAAAGCAUCUAAGCACGAAACUUGCCCCGAGAUGAGUUCUCCCUGACUCCUUGAGAGUCCUGAAGGAACGUUGAAGACGACGACGUUGAUAGGCCGGGUGUGUAAGCGCAGCGAUGCGUUGAGCUAACCGGUACUAAUGAACCGUGAGGCUUAACCUU